rnacentral:tRNA from 1 species
GCCUGGGUGGCUCAGUCGGUUGAGCGUCCGACUUUGGCUCAGGUCAUGAUCUCACAGCGCACGGGUUCGAGACCCGCCUCAGGGU